rnacentral:rRNA from 1 species
UACGUAGGGUGCAAGCGUUGUCCGGAAUUAUUGGGCGUAAAGAGCUCGUAGGCGGUUCGUCACGUCGGCUGUGAAAACCUGAGGCUCAACCUCAGGCCUGCAGUCGAUACGGGCGGACUCGAGUUCGGCAGGGGAGACUGGAAUUCCUGGUGUAGCGGUGAAAUGCGCAGAUAUCAGGAGGAACACCGGUGGCGAAGGCGGGUCUCUGGGCAACAACUGACGCUGAGGAGCGAAAGCGUGGGGAGCGAACAGG